CCAUCAUUGACACAUUGACGUCAGACGAAAUUCAGCUACCAAACGACGUAGAAAAAAUCGUCCGGCUGUCAUGUUUUAACUAAGGUGAUAAUUCAGUUGCCAGUAGUUUGUUUUGAUGUCUCUUAGCUCUCCCAAAAGACAGCCAUUGGAUGUAUUGUAAUAGAAAACGUUUUUUUUCCUGCACAAUUAAACAGAACAGCAGUGGCAUCAUCUGAAGUCAACAAAUUUCUUUCGCUCACAUUUGAUCAACAAAAGGCAAUGUCACCUUAUACGUGCACAGCACUACUGGUCUACGAUAGUACCUCAAACCUCCACAUAUAAACAUUCAACAGGAACCUCCAUCCUCACCCGCUCUUCACUUCCACUUCAGUUCUCCUUCAACAGGUGUUGAUAUGGUGAAAUAUUACUUGAGUUUCAAUCUGCAAAUUUUUCAAACACACUCUAUUUGCAACUUUCACAGUGUAGUGCUACGUGAAGGAGGACUGCUGAGCAAAAAGUGUAAUACCAGACUUACAGGUGACAAGCAUACAGCAAAUAACAAUGACAGCAUUACAGUACCUCAUUGAAACGGUGACGCAAGGGCAAAAACAAAAAAAAACCUUAAAAUACUUUAAAAAAACCUGCUGCUUCUUUGGUUCCGUUACAUUUUAACAAUGUUGGUGCAAUACAGUGACAGGCUGCAGCUUGUAUUGGAAUAUGAA